rnacentral:lncRNA from 1 species
GUGCAGUUACAGAGCUUUAUAUACAAGUGGUUCAGCUCUAACUGCCUAUGACGUGGCAUAACAAACUCUAACAACUUCUACUAAGGACUAUACUACUAUACAUUCUCCCUAGAACUCUUAUUGUGUUCACUAUCAUGUGAUUCAAACACCUUUGCAUCAGUGGCGUGUGGCUCAAGCAAGUUAGCAUCACUUUGUUCUUCUAGAGUGUCACUCGUAUUUUNN